ensembl:lncRNA
CCUUAAUGCACUGUGAACUAACAUGAACAAAUGUAUUUUCAUUAACUAAAAGAUUAAUAAACGAUAUAAAACAUAUAUUGUUCGUAAUCAGCUAAUGUUUAUUAACUAAUGUUAACAAAGUGAAAGUAUUGCUGUGUUGUUCAAAGCAUUAUCUUCCUUUAAACAUUUAAUAAGUGUUUGGCAACAGUAAACUUCAAUCCAACAGGCAUAAACAACAAAAUCAGAAUGAAUGCUGAUGAUAUAAUAUGCAUGCACAGCUUUAAAAACAAACUCACAUGAAACAUCUGAGAUGAUCAGAAGCAGCACGUACAUUUCCUCAGAAUACAUACAUACAUACGGUCCUGUCAGUGCAAAUAUCAGUACUAAAUUAACAGGUUUUUCCCCAUGGUUUAGUGUUUAACUCACAAACACUAGACUGAAGACAACAGAAAAUACAUCACCUUAUAAUAAACCCAUCAAAUCUGUCUCUCUCUCCAUUCACAAAUUCAUCGGUGACAUCAACAACUUCUCAAGGUUACUAUGGCGAUGGUCUCCAUCCAGCUGGAGCAGAAGCUGGUGUCAUGUGACGGAGGCUGACGGAGAACGAGGUGCUGGAUGGAGUCUAAUUAGAGAGAGAGCUGAGAAAUUAAGGCACAGUGGAGCUCCGCGUCCCAUGAUUCCACAGUCAUCCAGAGUUCAUUUAGUGAGAUGCAUUUUCAUCAGGAAGAUCAGUCCAGGAUUGUGAUGACAGAUCAACUUCGGAACAUAAAUUCAUUUUUUUUAUAUUACAUUAAAUUAAAAAUUACUUCACACAAAUAUAAACAUAAACACAAACUAUAGAAAAAUAUCCAAAAUAAAAGUUUUUUGUUUACAUUGUGUACUGUGUAUAUUUAUAUAAAAGCACACACAUACAGUAUAUAUUUUGAAAACAUUUACAUGUAUAUAUUUAUAUUCAUAUAAUUUAUAUUAUAUAUAUAUAAAUAUAUUUAAUAUAUAAACAUUACAUAUUUUUCUUAAACAUAUACAUGUACACUAGUGCUCAAAAGUUUGGGAUCAGUGAGACUUGUAAUGUUUUUUAAAGAAGUCUCUUCUGCUCAUCAAGACUGCA